UCCGAGUUGUCCCCGGCAGUCCUCUUAGAGUCCCCGGCAUUACCCGCUGGCAACUAAGAGCAGGGGUUGCGCUCGUUGCGGCACUUAAGCCAACACCUCACGGCACGAGCUGACGACAGCCAUGCAGCACCUGUGCUAGCCCCUUACGGACACGGGCUUUCACCCGCUUUAACUAGCAUGUCAAGCCUAGGUAAGGUGGGGAUGACGUUCGUCUGAC
rnacentral:misc_RNA from 1 species